GACGAACGCUGGCGGCGUGCUUAACACAUGCAAGUCGAACGGAAAGGCCCUGCUUUUGUGGGGUGCUCGUGUGGCGAACGGGUGAGUAACACGUGAGUAACCUGCCCUUGACUUUGGGAUAACUUCAGGAAACUGGGGCUCAUACCGGAUAGGAGCUCCUGCUGCGUGGCGGGGGUUGGAAAGUUUCGGCGGUUGGGGAUGGACUCGCGGCUUAUCAGCUUGUUGGUGGGGUAGUGGCUUACCAAGGCUUUGACGGGUAGCCGGCCUGGGAGGGUGAACGGCCACAUUGGGACUGCGGUACGGCCCAGACUCCUACGGGAGGCAGCAGUGGGGAAUAUUGCACAAUGGGCGGAAGCCUGAUGCAGCAACGCCGCGUGCGGGAUGACGGCCUUCGGGUUGUAAACCGCUUUCGCCUGUGACGAAGCGUGAGUGACGGUAAUGGGUAAAGAAGCACCGGCUAACUACGUG
rnacentral:rRNA from 1 species